CGAUUCUUAUCCAAGCUUGCAUGCCAAAUCUAUUUGCUCUCAGUUAUGGAUAUCAAAACAGUCCUCGUCAUUGUCGUUGUGUUGCUGGAGCAUAAAGAUCUAAGAUGCUGUGGCCAAGAUGGUUCUCAUCAGCAUGUUGCUCCUACUACCCAUGACUGUGGUCACCACGGCCAUUGGAAUGAUAGACAUAAUUAUUGUGAAUGCUCCUCGGGAUACAGCGGUAGUAAAUGUG